rnacentral:rRNA from 1 species
AUACGUAGGUGACAAGCGUUAUCCGGAUUUACUGGGCGUAAAGGGCGUGUAGGCGGUCUUGCAAGUCAGAAGUGAAAUUCCUGAGCUCAACUCGGGCGCUGCUUCUGAAACUGCAGGACUUGAGUGCUGGAGGGGAUAGCGGAAUUCUUAGUGGAGCGGUAAAAUGCGCAGAUAUUAGGAGGAACACCAGUGGCGAAGGCGGCCUGCUGGACGACAACUGACGCUGAGGCGCGAAAGCGUGGGGAGCAAACAGGAUUAGAUACCCUGGUAGUCCACGCUGUAAACGAUGAAUACUAGGUGUUGGGGGACUGACCCCCUCCGUGCCGCAGUUAACACAAUAAGUAUUCCACCUGGGGAGUACGAUCGCAAGAUUGAAACUUAAAGGAAUUGACGGGG